GUGGGGAAUAUUGCGCAAUGGGCGAAAGCCUGACGCAGCGACGCCGCGUGAGGGAUGACGGCCUUCGGGUUGUAAACCUCUUUCAGUAGGGACGAAGCGCAAGUGACGGUACCUACAGAAGAAGCACCGGCCAACUACGUGCCAGCAGCCGCGGUAAUACGUAGGGUGCAAGCGUUGUCCGGAAUUAUUGGGCGUAAAGAGCUCGUAGGCGGUCUGUCGCGUCGGCUGUGAAAACCCGAGGCUCAACCUCGGGCCUGCAGUCGAUACGGGCAAACUAGAGUACUGCAGGGGAGACUGGAAUUCCUGGUGUAGCGGUGAAAUGCGCAGAUAUCAGGAGGAACACCGGUGGCGAAGGCGGGUCUCUGGGCAGUAACUGACGCUGAGGAGCGAAAGCGUGGGGAGCGAACAGGAUUAGAUACCCCGGUAGUCC
rnacentral:rRNA from 1 species